rnacentral:misc_RNA from 1 species
UGCUUAUGUCAUAGACCAGCAUUGCCCCCACUGCACCUCUGUAGUAUGCACUUGUCACUGCCCGAUACCGUUCUUGACCUGCAGUAUCCCAAAUCUGAGCUUUGAUCGUUUUGUGAUCAAUAACGAUGGUUUUAGUCUGGAACUCUACUCCGAUCGUGGCUUUGGAAUCCAAACUGAACUCGUUUCUGGCGAAUCGAGCCAGGAGCUGCGAUUUGCCCACCGCUGAGUCACCAAUCAGUACGAUUUUAAACACGUAGUCUAUCUUCUGAUUGAAAUUCACUUGCAAAUUCGACAUCCCUCUCUCUUGUAUCACUUUCAAGCUAAUUUUUUUAUAUGAAGAAAAUUAUUUACAUAAAAUUCAAAGCUUGGUACAGUAUGAAUAGUAAAGAAAGAUUAGGAUCAAAAGAAAGAAAGAUCAAAGCCUGUAGUAGAGCAGGUGAGGUUUAUGAGAAGUCUG